rnacentral:rRNA from 1 species
AUCGAACGCUAGCGGGAUGCUUUACACAUGCAAGUCGAACGAGUGGCGGACGGGUGAGUAAUAUAUCGGAACGUGCCUAGUAGCGGGGGAUAACUACUCGAAAGAGUGGCUAAUACCGCCUACUAUUGGAUCGGCCGAGAUUGGAUGAGCUAGCUGGUGGGGUAAAGGCUCACCAAGGCAACGAUCCGUAGCUGGUCUGAGAGGCGGACCGGCCACACUGGGACUGAGACACGGCCCAGACUCCUACGGGAGGCAGCAGGGGGGAAUCUUGGAAAAUGGGGGAAACCCUGAGCAAGCCAUCCCGCGUGUAUGAGAAGGCCUUCGGGUUGUAAAGUACUGUUGGCAGAGAAGCGGUAUCUGAAGAAAAAGCAACGGCUAACUACGUGCCAGCAGCCGCGGUAAUAC